GAUGAACGCUGGCGGCGUGCUUAACACAUGCAAGUCGAACGGUGAACGAGGGAGCUUGCUCCCUCCGGAUCAGUGGCGAACGGGUGAGUAACACGUGAGCAAUCUGCCCUGGACUCUGGGAUAAGCGUUGGAAACGACGUCUAAUACCGGAUACGAGGCGUGGGGGCAUCCCCAACGCCUGGAAAGAACUUCGGUCCAGGAUGAGCUCGCGGCCUAUCAGGUAGUUGGUGAGGUAAUGGCUCACCAAGCCUACGACGGGUAGCCGGCCCGAGAGGGUGACCGGCCACACUGGGACUGGGACACGGCCCAGACUUCUACGGGAGGUAGCAGUGGGGAAUAUUGCGCAAUGGGCGAAAGCCUGAUGCAGCAACGCCGCGUGAGGGACGACGGCCUUCGGGUUGUAAACCUCUUUUAGCAGGGAAGAAGCGAAAGUGACGGUACCUGCAGAAAAAGCACCGGCUAACUACGUGCCAGCAGCCGCAGUAACAC
rnacentral:rRNA from 1 species